CCCUUAGAUGUUCUGGGCCGCACGCGCGCUACACUGACACGUUCAUCAAGUCUAUAACCUUGACCGAGAGGUCUGGGUAAUCUUUUAAAACGUGUCGUGCUGGGGAUAGAUUAUUGCAAUUAUUAAUCUUCAACGAGGAAUUCCUAGUAAACGCAAGUCAUCAACUUGCAUUGAUUACGUCCCUGCCCUUUGUACACACCGCCCGUCGCUACUACCGAUUGAAUGAUUUAGUGAGUACCAGGGACCGAGCGCUUUGGUUGGGUUUCCUUCCCUAGCGCUUGGGAACUGUCGCAAACUUGACCAUUUAGAGGAAGUAAAAGUCGUAACA
rnacentral:rRNA from 1 species